AAGGAGGGGCUAUUCAAGAUCUACAUCUAUGGAGGAAAGAUGUUAAAUCAAAUCUAAUGUUCUAAAGAUUUUCAUGGUGGACAUACAAGAAAAUUCGCAGGGAUUGUGCUACAAGCAUCACCAACACUGUUUUGGUCAUAUCUUGAGUUCUAGACAUCCGAUUUAGAUGAUCUUACAGCCCACGCGAAGCUUGUCAAAUUCCGGUUAAUUC
rnacentral:lncRNA from 1 species